ensembl:lncRNA
CCAGUCCUAAACAGUAUGCUUCUGUAAUAAAGAAUAGAGGUUUUUUUGUAUUAAAUGUUAUUUGAAAGGAAAAAAUCCCAUGUGAACAAUGCUACUCUAAUAAGUUAAUUUUUCCGAUGCCUUUUUAUCCAUAGCUGCCUAUACUCUGGUCAGUAUUUGGCUUAAUAACUACCUAUUCCAUAAGUAUUUACAGUGUGACUAGAAAGAUUUUAAACUAUGUUUCACAGUUGAAACCUCCAAAUUUGUUCUUAAAAAAUACAUUUCCAAAAAUCCUCUUGAUAAUUCAUCACUUGCCUGAGAGGUUUCCUUUAUACAUUUUUAGCUUUUGUAUGAUUUCAAACCCCAGAUGAACCCAAAUAAUCUCUUUUAUUAUUUCUCAAUGUUGGCUUCACAUCUGUGAUUGCCAGGUCAGUUUGUCCAUCUCUUCUUCAAUCCACCUUGCAUGGCAAAGGAAUGAAAUGGAAAGUCAUGACCCAAUCUCCAAUCUACCAGCAAAUCAUAAAGUGUUUUCUACUUCAUCUUGUCUUUUGUUUCAGUCUUUUAAUUAAGGUCCUAUUGAAUUAUGUGCACUGAUUUUGAUCUGAUUUCUCCUACCAUUAUACUUGCCUACGUGCACUCUCUAUCAAAUUAUAUAGAUAAUGGCUAUGUAUCCUUCUCAUUAUGGACAUACUAUGGACAUCUGGCUGAGUUUAACUGGAGUUGGAUAACCUUGCUAAUCUGCUACCAACAUUUAUUUACAAACACUAUACCCCAACACAUUGCCUUACAAUUGUACCUUGAGAAGGUUAUGUUUCAUGGAACUGUAUUUCAGAGCCAGCCAGCUACAUGCCCUAUGCUAUUGGAGUGCUAUGACUAUUUUCCUGAGUUAAUUUAUUCUGAAAUAAUAUGAGGGACUUAGGGGAAUUCACUGUUACCCCUGGGUUUAAAGGAAGAGUUUAAAAGCCUGCAAGGGCAUGAGUCACUAGAAUUUUACAUUCCCAAUACCUUUAAAAUGAGCCACAGUACAGCGGAGGGUGGUAAGGGAUUAAUCUGCGGGGUUAAUCUGCUGAAGUACCCAACUGUGUUAUCAGUUUGCUUGUUCCUUCAGGAAAUUUUACCUGUAGUCAAGCACCAAUGAUUUGGGAAGUUCUUAAUGCCUAUCUCAUUUCUGGAAGGUCAACAAAUCACUAUAAAAUGCUGAAUUUAAAUCUGUACUCUUUUGAAAAUCCCUUUCUCAAGUCAAUUUAUGUCAGGUGGAGGUUCACAGGGACUACAGCCGGUUUCUUAUUGUGCAAGUAUAGCAUUUCAUUGCACCACAUAAGGAAUGGGGUUAUUUUCAGAACAGAACUCAUAAUCCUUAACGCAGAAGAGUGUAAGGGCUCAUUAGGUGGCUCCCUAUGUGGUUCCUAAUUUCAGAGACUGGACAUUUUAACAGCUCCUCUGAGCAUAAGGCUAUAUUCCGUCCGGGUUCUGUGCUCAGUAUUCCUUCUAGUAUCAGUGGAAGUCCUAAACAAAAACUAAAAUAGAACCUUUUCUCAUAUAUACAUUGAUACUUUUUAAAUAUGUUUUUUAAAAAAAUCCCUUUCUUUCAGCAAAGUCUAUGUUACUUGCAGCUGAGUGGUUGUCUUCUGUGGUUGUAAUGGAUUUUCUAAACUCCCUAAUCGUUUUGUUUAUGACUGACAGAGUAUGUAAAGUACUAAAAGUAUUAUAGAAGAUAGUAUUGAAGGUUAUUAAUGGAUACUGCUGAUCCUUGAUGCUGCUUAGUCGUGUUAAUGUCUAAGACGGAAAAAACUGUUAAUUGAAUUGUAUUGUAUUCCUACAACUACUUCAUUAUAUUUUUAAUGGAGCACAAAUAUAAAAGAAUAUACACUUGUCUACUCUGGAAGGGAGAUAUAAAAUACAUUCAGAAUACCUGAUAUUACACCAUUUGUAGCUUUUUUCCCCCUUGUCUGUUGUAAUGUCUAGAACUUGCAGGGUUUUUGUUUCUACUUAUUUUCCAUUGAAAAAAUAUUCCAAAAUGUACCCUUCCUACUAAGAAGAAAAUUCAGUAAGGAAAAAUCUCAUUCUGUAAGGUAACAAAACAGAAAUAGGGACAAAUUGUAUUAUGGGUUUGGAGUUGCAUUUUAAUUAUAACUCUUCUUAAUUAUAUAUAUAUAUUUUAAAACUUUAUUUGAAGGCGUGAUAACAGCCAUUCAAAGUACACUUGAGGAUGGGAAACAAUCAUUAGCCUCGUUAAUAAUGUGUGAUACGCUUUGAUAUGUUCUAGUGGGAAGCUAAAUGUCUAACAGCUGUAUUUAUGUAUAUGCGCAUUACAAUACAUUGUGUUAGUAUUCCGUGGAAAAUAAAGAAUAUUUAAACCAUAGAAGUAACAAACAGUCCUCAGACUGUUGAUGAACACUACUGAUAAUAGCACCAAGAGAAAACAGAGAAGUCAGCAUGCCCAAAAUGUUACAACUAGGGGCAGAACAUAAGCCCACAGCAAGUCUCAA